AUGAAGAAAUUCUUUCAGGAGUUCAAGGCCAAUAUCAAGUUCAAGAGCGUGGGACCCAGUCAGAAGCUCACAGACUCUCUAGGGGAAAAGGCCCUCAAAGAGAAGCCCACCUAACCAGCUCCCCGGCAGCCCAGCCAGGGACCCACAAUGAGGCACAGACGGCGGCUGCUGCCGCCCUGGUUCAGCUGGAGCAUUAGCAAUCCUGGCCCUGGGGCCCCACGUCUCAGGACACCAUCCGAAACCAGGUGAGAAAGGAACUUCAAGCCGAAGCCACAGUCAGCAGGAGCCCCGAGGCCCCAGGGACCAACAUAGUAUCUCAGCCCAGAGAGGAAGUCUCCGCCCACCUGGCUGUGCCUGGCAUCUAUUUCACCUGUCCGCUCACCUGGGCCACCCUGAGGAAGGACCAGCCGGACGCCUGCAUCAAGGACGCUAUUCUCUCAUGCUUUUCCACCGACCCAGUGGCGGCCUCCCAUCGUGAAGAUCCACACGUUCGACAAAGCCCGGGACCGGGUGAAGCUGGGCGUGGACGCCAUCGCCAAGUACCUGGACAACAUCCACCUGCACCCCGAGGAGGAGAAGUUCCGGAAGAUCAAGCUGCAGAACAAAGUGUCCCAGGAGCGCAUUAACUGCCUGGAAGGGACCCACGAGUUUUUUGAGGCCAUUGUUUUCCAGAAGGUGAUGCUUCCCGUCCCACGUCAGGGGAACCCAGAGGAGUUCUACGUGCUGAGCGAGGCCACCCUGGCCCAGCCCCGGAGCCUGGAGAGGCACGAGGAGCAGCUGCAGACCUCGGAGCCCGUGCCCGCCAAGCUGGACCGGCAGCGCUGUCUUCCAGCCCUCGCCCCCGGCCUCGCAGUUCGACUUGCCUGGGGAUUUAUUCAACCUCUCGGCCGAGGAGAUCAAGCGGGAGCAGAGGCUUGGGUCCGAUGCGGUGCAGCGGCUGAGUGUGCUGCGGACCGAGGCCAAGCGGUAGAAGGAGGAGCAGCGGGGGCUAGGAAGGGUGCGCCUCCCCGACGGCUGCCUCCUGCGGGGGACCGUCUGUGCCUGGGAACCGCUGGAGGCCGAGUGCGGUUCGUCCUGGAGGCCCUGCAGAACUACUGGCUGCCUUUUGAGCUGCUGGCCUUGGGACGGCAGAAGCUGUCAGAGAACGAAAACCUGGCCUUGAAUGAGUGCGGGCUGGUGCCCUCUGCCCUGCUGACCUCGUGGGACGUGGCCGUGCUGGAGGACAUCAAGCCGGACUCCAUCCUGAAACCCCAGCUCCUGUCAGCCAUCGAGAAGCUCUCGUGA